rnacentral:rRNA from 1 species
UACGUAGGGGGCAAGCGUUGUCCGGAAUCAUUGGGCGUAAAGAGCGUGUAGGCUGCCCGAUAAGUCCGCUGUGAAAGUCCAGGGCUCAACCCUGGAAAGCCGGUGGAUACUGUUGGGCUAGAGUCCGGAAGAGGCGAGUGGAAUUCCUGGUGUAGCGGUGAAAUGCGCAGAUAUCAGGAGGAACACCAAUGGCGAAGGCAGCUCGCUGGGACGGUACUGACGCUGAGCCGCGAAAGCCAGGGGAGCGAACGGG